rnacentral:miRNA from 8 species
ACCAUCGACCGUUGACUGUACC